GCUCCGUAGGUGAACCUGCGGAGGGAUCAUUACAGAGUUCAUGCCCUACCGGGUAGAUCUCCCACCCUAUGUUAUUAUUACUUUGUUGCUUUGGCGGGCCGUUAGGCUCCGGCCCGACUACCGGCCCCGGCUGGUAAGCGCCCGCCAGAGGACCCAAAACCCUGAAUAUUAGUGUCGUCUGAGUACUACAUAAUAGUUAAAACUUUCAACAACGGAUCUCUUGGUUCUG
rnacentral:misc_RNA from 1 species